rnacentral:rRNA from 1 species
GACGAACGCUGGCGGCGUGCUUAACACAUGCAAGUCGAACGGAAAGGCCCUGCUUUUGUGGGGUGCUCGAGUGGCGAACGGGUGAGUAACACGUGAGUAACCUGCCCUUGACUUUGGGAUAACUUCAGGAAACUGGGGCUAAUACCGGAUAGGAUCUCCUGCUGCAUGGUGGUGGUUGGAAAGUUUCGGCGGUUGGGGAUGGACUCGCGGCUUAUCAGCUUGUUGGUGGGGUAGUGGCUUACCAAGGCUUUGACGGGUAGCCGGCCUGAGAGGGUGACCGGCAACAUUGGGACUGAGAUACGGCCCAGACUCCUACGGGAGGCAGCAGUGGGGAAUAUUGCACAAUGGGCGGAAGCCUGAUGAAGCAACGCUGCGUGCGGGAUGACGGCCUUCGGGUUGUAAAAAGCUUUCGCCUGUGACGAAGCGUGAGUGACGGUAAUGGGUAAAGAAGCACCGGCUAACUACGUG